rnacentral:rRNA from 1 species
UACGUAGGGAGCAAGCGUUAUCCGAAUUUAUUGGGUGUAAAGGGUGUGUAGGCGGCAGGGCAAGUCAGAUGUGAAAGACCGGGGCUUAACUCCGGGGCUGCAUUUGAAACUGCUUUGCUUGAGUCCGGGAGAGGCAGGCGGAAUUCCUAGUGUAGCGGUGAAAUGCGUAGAUAUUAGGAGGAACACCAGUGGCGAAGGCGGCCUGCUGGACCGGAACUGACGCUGAGGCACGAAAGCGUGGGGAGCAAACAGG